rnacentral:rRNA from 1 species
AGCGAACGCUGGCGGCAGGCUUAACACAUGCAAGUCGAGCGGGCACUUUCGGGUGUCAGCGGCGGACGGGUGCGUAACGCGUGGGAACGUGCCCUCUGGUUCGGAAUAACUCAGGGAAACUUGAGCUAAUACCGGAUACGCCCUUUUGGGGAAAGGCUUGCUGCCGGAGGAUCGGCCCGCGUCUGAUUAGCUAGUUGGCGAGGUAACGGCUCACCAAGGCGACGAUCAGUAGCUGGUCUGAGAGGAUGAUCAGCCACACUGGGACUGAGACACGGCCCAGACUCCUACGGGAAGCAGCAGUGGGGAAUAUUGGACAAUGGGCGCAAGCCUGAUCCAGCCAUGCCGCGUGAGUGAUGAAGGCCUUAGGGUUGUAAAGCUCUUUUAUCCGGGACGAUAAUGACGGUACCGGAGGAAUAAGCCCCGGCUAACUUCGUG